AAGCAGGAUAAGUUACAAUAUGGCAGUGUGCUGUGUUGUCGUUCCCCCUGCUAAAAAGAACUUGUCUCCUACUAUCCCUGACUGACCACUGUGACAGGCAGGGACGCUUGGUCUCAUACAA